UACGUAGGGAGCAAGCGUUGUCCGGAAUCAUUGGGCGUAAAGGGCGCGUAGGCGGCCACCGCAAGUCGGUUGUGAAAUCUCUGGGCUUAACCCAGAAAGGUCAACCGAUACUGCGGGGCUAGAGUGCAGAAGGGGCAACUGGAAUUCUCGGUGUAGCGGUGAAAUGCGUAGAUAUCGAGAGGAACACCUGCGGCGAAGGCGGGUUGCUGGGCUGACACUGACGCUGAAGCGCGAAAGCUAGGGGAGCGAACGGG
rnacentral:rRNA from 1 species